rnacentral:lncRNA from 1 species
GACACAAAAGGGUUUUGGUCCACAAGGCACAUAAGGUUUAAGUUGUGUGACAACUAAAACAAAAUGGGCAAUUAACCCACUAACAAUAGGGAGGCCAGCCAUGCUUAGAGAGGGAGUGGGUUUUGAACUUAUUACAAGUUUACCACUCCAAUGAAGAUAGGUAUAAAUGUGACUUUAUAGCAUUUUCUUCAUUAAGGUUUUUCUCUUAGUAAAGAUAAGAGAACUUUGGCUCUCUCUUUCUCUCUAGAGAGGAUGGGCACCAUGGGGGAAUUUACUAGCAUCUAAUUCUUCCAUGGUCAUUCAUCAUCUUCCUCAACCAUCCUUGGUGUCGGAACUUAAAGGUCUCCAACUUUGGGGACUUUUAGAGAAACUAAUUCUUCCAUCCAUAUCUAAGAAGACAUGGAGCCAAGAAGCAAAGUUCCUCCAUCCACAUCCAUGGAGCCAAGGAGCAAGGUGACAAAGGAAAUAAGGCCGAUUAACCUUUGCUAAGCAAAAAUAUGCUUCAAAGGUAUAAAGAAAUCUCAACUCUUUCUCUUAGAUCUUGAGUUGAGUCUUGGUUCACCAUAACUACUAGGCUUUGAAUUUCAUGUGUAAAGUUUUGUUUUUGAGUGCAUACAAGCAUGAUUCUGCCUUUAAUUGUUAAUUGCAUGCAUAGAUGUUGCUCAAAUGAACUACUUUUCACAAAUAUUUCCUUCAACAUCAACUUUCAUCACCCAAAGUGCCAACCUCCUAGGGGAGCUGUGCAAGGGGUCAUCCAUCUUUUUCCCUCGAACACCUAGGAUGGCUUUGAUCUUCUUUGGAUACGCCUCAAUGCCUAGUUGGGUGACUAAGUAUCCAAGUAGCCAAGAAAUCUUUCUGAGGAGACUCUGUAUUUGCAAUUGGUUGGAUUUAGCAUCUUGAUGUAGACUCGCAAGAGCGAAAAUGUCUUUGCGAGGUUCUUGAUGUGACCAACACGUUUUGGGCCUUUCACCAUGUUGUCU